GAUACCAAGAUAUAGAAGCAGAGAAACAGAGGAAGGAGGAAGAAAGGUUGGCCGCUAUGCAGAGAGAGUUCCGGCGUGAACAUGCAGCUAGAAUAAUCCAACGUGCUUGGCAACACUUCAAGAUGAGGAAAAUGCUUAAGAAGGCACA